CGCCACGAUCCGCUUCGAAGGACACACACGGACGGGGCGCCUCGGCGCGCCCGUCGACACAAUGAUUUCUUUUGGGGAAAGUCUCCGGACACUACGGCAGAGAGUGCCAGCCCUAAGGGUCAGCCCCUGCACGCACCGAACCGCUGGCAAAGACGUCU
rnacentral:RNase_MRP_RNA from 1 species